rnacentral:rRNA from 1 species
CCUGUUCCCAUGCCGAACACAGAAGUUAAGCUCCUUAGCGCCGAUGGUAGUUGGACUGACGUUCCGCUAGAGUAGGACGUUGCCAGGC